AAGCCAGCCCGUCCCCUCUCCCAGAGUGGGUGGCCCUGCCCCACUCUCCGAGUGGGUGGGGACAGUGGUUGCAUGGGCAGCUUUAGCAUUGUGAUGCCACAGGUCCCUCUGGACACACUGCUGCUUGACCACGCCUCCUUUCCCUCUCAUCUUUCUCAGUGACCAAUGGGCUUGGAACAUUAAGGCCACGCCCCUAUUCUGCAUUCUCCUGGGGCCCUGGUUACACCUCUCUGGCUCAGUCGCAUAGCUGCCAGGUAGGUAACUGGAGGCAUUCAGCAGUGCUUACUGGGAUUUUGCUGAUGUGGCCCCAACCCCGCCUCCCUCCCCACCUUGCGAUGUCAGAAAAAACACGACAGGAUAAAUGGGCUGCAGCCAAGCAAAAGCUGAAAGAGUAUCAGCAGAGGAACAGCCCUGGUGUUCCGGCAGGAGUGAAGACGAAGAAAAAAACUGGAAGUAGCCCUGAGACAACCACUUCUGGUGGUUGCCACUCACCUGAGGAUUCCUCCUCCAACUCAUCCUCUCUAUAUGCGCCUCAGAGCCGGUACCAAGAACUAGCAGUAGCCCUGGACUUAAACUCUGCGACAAUCAAUCACCUUAAUGAAAACAUAGAAUCAUUGAAACAGCAGAAGAAACAAGUGGAACAUCAGCUGGAAGAAGAAAAGAAAGCGAACAAUGAAAUACACAAAGCGCAAAUGGAGCAGUUAGAGACAAUCAACAUCCUCAUGUUGGAAAAGGCAAACUUGAAGACCACCCUUUACCAUACUAAACGUGCCGCCAGACACUUUGAAGAAGAGUCCAAGGAUCUGGCCAGCCGCCUGCAAUACUCCUUGCAGCGUACUCAAGAAUUGGAGUGGGCUCUCUCUGCUGUGUCUACACAGCAGCAGGAAGAGGACAGGAUGAGUCCAACCAGCUGUCCCUCCUCAAGCCGCAGUGAAGCAGUCCUCCAGCAGCAGUUACAGCAGUCCACAAAGGAGCGGGCACUGCUGACGCAGAUGACAGAGUCACUUAAACAAGUCCAGCUAGAGAGAGAUGAAUAUGCUCAACGUAUAACAGGAGAGAGGGCCCGGUGGCAGGAGAGGAUGUGGAAAAUGUCGGUGGAGGCUUGCACAUUGAAGGAGGAGAAGCGUGACAUACAUCGGAUACAGGAGCUGGAGAGGAGCUUGUCCGAACUCAAACCGCAGAUUGCUGAGCCCCUGUCCCCAGCACCCCCAGCAGGGACUUCUGAGGUGAAGCAGCUACAAGAUGAGGCCAGGCACCUGAGGAAGGAGGUGGAAAGUUUGGAGGGAAAGCUGCAAUCCCAGGUGGAAAACAAUCAGGCCUUGAGUCUCCUGAGCAAGGAACAAAAAGAGAGCUUUCAGGAUCAGGAGGAGAGGCUCUGAGAGCAGGAGGAGAGGAGGGUGCGGGAGCAGGAGAGGGUGCGGGAGCAGGAGAGACUGUGUGCGCAAAAGGAGAGGCUUCAGAAGCAGCAGGAGAGGCUGCGGGAGCAGGGUGAGAGGCUGCGAAAGCAGGAGGAGAGGCUGUGAAAGCAGGAGGAGAGGCUGUGGGAUCGGGGGAGAGGCUGUGGGAUCAGGAGGAGAGGCUGUGGAAUCAGGAGGAGGGGCUACGAAAGCAGGAGGAGAGGCUCGCGCUCUCCCAGAACCACACGCUCGACAAGCAGCUGGCCGAGCCACAUUGCAGCUUCGAGGAUCUGAACAAUGAGAACAAGAGCGCACUGCAGUUGGAGCAGCAAGUAAAGGAACUGCAGGAGAAGCUGGGCGAGGAGUGCCUAGAAGCUGCCAGCCAGCAGAACCAACAGCUAGAAACCCAGCUGAGCGUCAUGGCUCUCCCUGGAGAGGGAGAUGGAGGAGGACAUCUGGACAGUGAGGAGGAGGAGGCGCCUUGGCCCAUGCCAAGUAUCCCACAGGACCUGGAGAACCGGGAGGCCAUGAGCGGCUUUAUGGACCUCCCGAAGGAGAAGGUGGACGGGAAGGAGCAGGUGGAAAAACUAGAGCUUGGAUUCAUCCAGCUCUCUGAAGCAACAGACGGCAUGAGAGAGUACGUCACAGUAUAUGAGAGCCAAGGGGCAGUGCCAAACACGUGGCACCAGGAUAUGGAGGAUGUCAUUAGGCUGGCCCAGAACGAGAUGAAAGUGAAUAUGCUGGAACUGCUGAAGCUGGUGUUGCCGCUUAUGGGCGACCACGAGGGGCAUGGUAAAUUCUUCGCCACUCCCCAGAACCCUGCUGAUGAGCCCGCUCCAGGGGCUCCAGCCCCCGAGGAACUUGGGGCUGCUGGCAAGGAGGGUGAUUUUUAUGAGGUGAGCCUGGACAACAGCGUGGAGCCCGCACCAGGAGAGGCCAGGAAUGGUUCUCCCCAUGACAACCCCACUGCAGAGCAGAUCGUGCACCUGUUUCCUGUAAUGCAGGACACCCAGGAGCACCCAGGCUUGGCCACCAAACCCUGCAUGCCAUUCUUCUACCGGGCAUCCGAGAACAGGGAGAUAAACAUCAUCAUCAUCUAAGCGCUGGUCAAGAAAUUGAAAAACAACAACAACAAAAAGUUAUGGCGUUAAUCUCGUACACAAUUCAUUUACUUCAUCUGAAUGUUAGAGCCACUCCUGUUCAUUUGUGUUUCUAAUUUACAGUUUAAAUUUUUUUGUAGAAAAUUAGGGAGAGUGGAUCUUUCCCUGAUGUUCACUCUCGCAUCCUUUAGCAUUUUUGUUUUUUAAUUUGAUAAUUGUAAGUCGUUAGCUCGCAUAUCGAGUUUGCCUUUACCUGGUGGGAGUUCAAGCACACAAAGACCCACUAUUUGCGCAAAAUUAUUCUUGCUGGUUUGGAAUAGGCUGCCAUGGUUUUUAAAAUGUUUUUGCAGCAUGUAUGUUCAUUACAGAAUUCAGAUAAAAUUUGCUUAUGUUCUGAUAUUAUGUUUGAUCGAAUCCUAAUCACAGCGAGCUCUUCAUUAGCUCAAUAUAUGGUUUGCCCUCAAGUGCACACUGUUUAUUACUUUGUAAUAUGCCACUGUGAGUAGUGACGUUUACAGUUGUUUAAAGGCUGAGAACUGGAAGCAGCCUUUCCUCUAUUUUCUGUGUAUUGGGGAUGGGUGUAAUAACAUUUGGGGGAGCUUUUUAAAUCUCACAGAAGAGGAAAGUGGCCUGCUUUGGCAGGUGCGUGCAGGAUACAGUGUGUUUCCUUCGUUCUGGUGCCAAGAAUGAGCGCGGUACUAUGGUAGUUCCCUUAGGAUUUGUAUGUGCUCUGGGCUCAUGAAGAUAUUGCAUCAUGAGCUGUGGCCGUUGUACUCUUUCUCAAUGACCUAAAAAGGGAUUAUUUCUGAGGAGGGAAAGGCUCCCAUCAUUGACUGUGGAUAGGGAAAACCUUUUCUAGCUUAGCGCAAAUAUAUACAAUACAUUUUAAAAUCAGAGUCCACGUUACCUAUUUCAAUCACAUGACUACAGGUCCCAUCACACAAAAGGGCACUGGUUGGCAUUCUUCUUUAUGUAAUUAGUAAAGAUCAUAAGAAAUCCUUUCAGAGUUUAAAUGUCCCUGGAACAGGCAUACAGGCUUUAGUCAAGAAUGAAUUCUAGUGAAGGAAAGCUGUGUGACACCUGGCAUUCCUCUAUGUUCAUGGAGCUUUUUUGAGGCUAGAAUAUUGAUUUUACCAUCUAGACCUCUCUGGCUAAUACCUUUUCUUCAACCACAUAGGUUACUCUCACAUAGGAAUUUACUUCUUUUCCUUAAAUGGAAAACACUUAAAAAAUAACAACCAUUAUUAUAAACCAAUAUACGUGAGAGUACUUAGUUGAAACAAAAAGAAGUUUUAGUAGACAGUAUUCUACUACAUUUGAAAAUCAAGGAGAUGUUUAUGCAACUUAAAAUGUGUACAAACUGCAGUGCAAUCUACUGUUUGUGAAUGUCAGAGUAUUUUGAGGAAAAGUGUCUAUACAAUUACAGAGUUAUAUUUCCUCACAAAGUUCUUUAUGAAGAGUGAAAUAUGUUCUUAUACCUCUCAGUUUCAGUUAGAGGCAUAUUUUGUGUCAUACUUAUGUUCAUGUGCCUGUACAUGAUGAAUGAACUAUUUCAGUCAUACAUUGCCUAAAUAAUAACUUUAUGAUGCUUGGGAAAGAACAGCUAAAACUUCAUGAAGUUCUAAUGUCUCUGUUCCAAAAUACGUCACAGUAUUAGAAUGUAGGGAUACAUUAUUAGAAUGUAUGCGCACUCCCUGGGGUGGGCAUUUCUAGUUACUAGACCAUCUCCAUUUUUAGCAUUUGGCAUCCUCAUGACACUUUUAUAAAUAUGACAUUAAUAGGAGAGCAAUAAUACAAUUUUACUGUUGGAAUAACAGAUUUGCCUGCAUUCACUGAAAGAGUGCAAAUACUGGGUGCUUGUGACUUCAACUGACUUUUCCAAAUUGUAUGAAUUUAUCAGUUUUUUAGAUAAGUCCAGUUUGAGAAUGAUAAAGAAAAACUGUUAGACCAAAUAAUGUGGUUAAUUAACAGUGGUACAAUAUCUUGCCCGAGGGUUUAAAAUAGACUUGAGGUCCUGUUCUUACCUUCUAUUUUGUGAACUUGCCGCUUUUGCAUUAUUUGAGUUCACUUGAAAGACAGUUACUUUAAGUCCAUUUUAAACCCUCGGGCUAGAAAUCGUACCACUGUUAAUUAGCCACAUUAUUUGGUCUAACAGUUUUUCUUUAUCAUUCUGAAACUGGGUUUACCUAAUACAUUGAUAAAUUAUUUUGAAGGAAUUUUUAUAGUUCCAGUCACUUCACUUUUACCCUGACACAUAUAAAUGACUAGGAAUGACCUUCAGAUCGCAUUUAGCAUCUGUAACCAAUCUGACAAUAAUGUGUUCAUCAGGGACCUAUGGAUUAAAUCACAUACUGGCAUAUUUAAGCUGAAUAUCAGCCUGGAAAAUAAAUGUACUAUAUUAACUGAAAUACCACUCUUUGUGUAGGUAUUUUGUCAUAUGUUUAAGACAAAGCUAAAAAGAAUGGAAAUCAUAUCACAAUAACUUAAGUCUUUCUUCAAAGUGCAUGCAGUCUUUUGCAAUACCUCAUUCAGCAAGUAUUUGUUCUCUUCUUCAUUCAGUAUAAGGCAGCUUUCAAUUUGCUUAGAAGGCAACAUUAGAAGGUUAGAGUUCAUCAGAAAUACAUAAUUUUAAAAUGUGAGUUCAAACUGAAUAAAUGUGAAUUUCUGUAGGAAGUGAAGAAUCAAAAUAUCAAUUUAAAGACUGCAAUAUAUGAUAAUUAUUUUUAAAGUAUCUGGCUAAACCUGAUAGAUUUUCUGGAAAUGAAUAAAAUCAGUUCUAAAACCAAAGCUGAUUUUUAGAAAAUGUGAAAAUAUAAAUCAGCCCUAUCCAUAAUAGUUUCUCCAAAACUUUAUCUUACAGUUACUUUAAAAUAAUAUAACUAUUCAAAAAUGUAACUGCUAUGUUAAUGUUUUGAAAUAAGUUAAAGUAUUUUAAAAUAUGAAUACUGUAAUUUAAAACAAAGAAACUGGGGGAAGGAAAAGUAGAGAAAUAAAGUCCAAAGCUUUAUUUGCCAAGUUUUCUUAGAAUGACUUUUACCAAUUUAUGAAUUCUUAUUAACAGAAUGUAUAAUGGAAAUACUGAAAGACUUUUGUCUAAAGUGGCAUUAUUGACUGCUAUCAUGAUAUACUGUAAUGUAAUAAAUUAUGAAAUUGUUGCAAAGUGUU